rnacentral:rRNA from 1 species
AAAACUUUCAACAACGGAUCUCUUGGCUCCAGCAUCGAUGAAGAACGCAGCGAAACGCGAUAUGUAGUGUGAAUUGCAGAAUUCAGUGAAUCAUCGAAUCUUUGAACGCACAUUGCGCCUUCCAGUAUCCUGGGAGGCAUGCCUGUCCGAGCGUCGUUUCAACCCUCGAGCCCCCGUGGCCCGGUGUUGGGG